rnacentral:misc_RNA from 1 species
UUACAGCUCCAUCAGGAACUU